GUAAGGAUGACAAAGGCAGAUAGAGUGGUACAGUUUACAGGGAAUUUAUUCCGUCACACUGUAAUUUUAGGGAAAAAGGGGGCUGGACGGAACCAAAGCAAAGAAAGUAAAUAUCAAAGCCCCCUCUCCUACCUUACCUGCUUAUCCACUACUUAACACCACCUGCUGCGCUAACCAAAAUACAGGGGGUGGUCCGCCCAGGUCUUACCUAGUGUGCCUAGACAGUGAAUACUACUGGUUAUGUAUGCCCUCGGGCCUCUUGCCUAAGCACUCCCUAGGUGCCUUCCCCUUCCCCCCUGGGAACAAAUUAAUCAGAAUAAUCCAAAUGGAAUUAAACAAUUUCAAAAAUGAAAAACACAGUUCUAUCAGCACACACAUACCUCAAAUCAGCAGCUACAAAAAUACUUAACAAAACCUGUCUCUCAGCCACAACCAAGAUAGGACACACUCAUCUCGCUUCUGAGCCACAGAACACUGGCUUAUAUAGCUGGAAAAGGAGUCUAAUGGGAUACAGCUGUAUCCUGGUCAGGGGGCGGGGUCAGCUCUCCAAUCAUCAAUGGGGCCGACCAAUCAGCUGCUUAAAGGAAUUUCAGGAAGCCAUCCUGAAACACACAUACAAACAAAACCACAACACAGAAACUGGGGAACGUAACACGCCCACCACAAAACACGCAAACUUAGUUUGCAAUAACACCUAACUGUUAUGGAGAUUCAUAUGUUUAAGGUAAUGGUAAGAUAAUGACUAAAUGAUUUAUCCUUUCAAAUGAAUGUUCAGGCAUUAACAGUAUUCCACCCUGAAACUGGAUAAUGGAGUGAGAUGUAUUUUAAUCAUAAGACUAGAAUUGUGCAUAGAAAUAGAAAUAGAGGAGCUGUUUUAACAGACAAGGAACUGUGGCAGACAACUUGUGACCACUGUGGAACUGAUAACAGGGAAGGAGGUCUCCCCACCCAGGGAGGGAAACGGAAGAGAGGUGAUGCUUAUGGGCAUCCUGCCUGCACUGGACCUGAACCAACUGGAUCCCAAGCAAGUGUGGUGUCUGUUCCAAAUGCUAAAGCUACUGGCACCAAUACUCUGGCAAGUGUGACGCCGGGUCCAAAUGCCACAGCUGAAGCAACUGCCAACCAUGCCUCGGCAGAAGCGGCCCGCGCCUCAGCUGAAGCAACUGCCAACCAUGCCUCAGCAGAAGCGGCUGGCCCCUGCGCCUCAGCUGGAGCAACUGCCAACCAUGCCUCGGCAGAAGCGGCCCACGCCUCAGCUGGAGCAACUGCCAACCAUACCUCGGCAGAAGCAGCUGGCCCCCGCGCCUCAGCUGGAGCAACUGCCAACCAUGCCUCGGCAGAAGCGGCCCGCGCCUCAUCUGGAGCAACUGCCAACCAUGUCUCGUCAGAAGCGGCCGGCCCCCGCGCCUCAGCUGAAGCAACUGCCAACCAUGCCUCUGCAGAAGCGACCGGCCCCCGCGCCUCAGCUGAAGCAACUGCCAACUGUACCUCUGCANNNNNNNNNNCGGCCGGCCCUCGCGCCUCAGCUGAAGCAACUGCCAACCGUACCUCUGCAGAAGCGACCGGCCCCCGCGCCUCAGCUGAAGCAACUGCCAACCAUACCUCUGCAGAAGCGGCCCAUGCCUCAGCUGAAGCAACUGCCAACCGUACCUCUGCAGAAGCGACCGGCCCCCGCGCCUCAGCUGAAGCAACUGCCAACCAUGCCUCUGCAGAAGCGGCCGGCCUUGAACAGACGGCCCGACCCCUCAACAAGCUAGAUAGGGAGAUCAUAAUUUGGUUUGCCCAACUCCUUAAUCGUCUUUCUCCUGUUACUGUGCCUCCAUUUGAAGAAAAGGGCAAAGGUAACUGAGACUGGGUCUGGAGAAAAAGGGAUUGUGGAUCACACCACUUGUGGAAACAGAUUUGUUUACCUUUGUUUCUGGUAUUUGAAGAAAAGGUUGACUGCAUUUCUUGUUUUAAUUCCUCAUUGUUUGCAUAGUCAACAUGCACACUUAACCCUCCAGACAUGCCACCAGGGGUCUUUUCACAGUCCCCAAAUCCAGAACAAAUGCACAAUAUUAUAUAGAGCCAUGAUUGGCUGGAUCUCCCUUCCAUAUAGUGCAAGAGAACAGCAAACUGGGUUUAAAAAGCAACGGCACAACGCCUCUCCCCCAUGUGACCUGGUUGUGUGUAACAGAUGCACAAAUACACUUUAACCAUUAACAAAUGUCCAAGUAUUAAAAUAAAUUGUGUCAGACUAGCUGUCGCUAAUGGGGAUCCUAAACUAUAUAUUCAACUACCUACCAUUUGAAAAGCUGAAAUAAACUACAAAACACUUUCCUACCCAGGUCUGACCUCCACAGAACACUGGGUGUGAAAUGCUUCCUUGCAAGCUCUUUCCUCAACAGUACAGAAUCAAUAUAAAAGAAGCAGAGAGAGGAGGACAAGGACAGAAAGAGGGCAGUGACUGCAAAUCAUAGCACAGUCUAUUUGUAUGUUCCCAUGGUAGGAAGCAUCUCCAAUCCAAAAUUAAAUCUAGAAUGGGCUUCCUAUUUUGCAACAAAGCAUCCCUCACUCAAGCUGCCAAACAUGCCCUUGUAAAACUGACUAUCCACCAAUCAUCGACUUCGGUGAUAUCAUUUACAAAAUAGCUUUUUAAAAUAGUUUAUCACAGUGCCAUCCAUUUUGUCACCAAAGCCCCAUAUACUUCCCACCACUGCGAACUGUACUCUCUCGUUGGCUGGCCCUCGCUUCAUACUCGUCGCCAAACCCACUGGCUCCAGGUCAUCUUCAAGUCUUUGCUAGGUAAUGCCCCGCCUUAUCUCAGUUCACUGGUCACUAUAGCAGCACCCAACCGCAGCACGCGCUCCAGCAGG
rnacentral:lncRNA from 13 species